AAGCAUGUUAUAUACUCAGCGUAUGCUGCUAGUCCGGGUUGAUGCAAACGAAGCCCAAAAAUAAGCCCACGCACCAAUCAGACCUGGAACAAUCGUUAGCGCAACCGAGAAGGAAUAUGUUCAGCUUUCUACCAAAACUUGGCUUUGUCUUCCUCACCUUCAGUGUCGUUAGCUCUAUCUACAAUUCGCGUGGCGACCCAGGCAUGCUGGCUUUCGUGAUCUCAUCCUACGUCAACCUUCUGCUCCUCUUUUGGUGCGUCGACAGGUUUGAGAAGCUGGGCCCAAACAGCCCACCCGAAAAGAGGAAGAGGCUAAAGGUGGCCAUCUGGGUGCUCACCACCGCCCUCAACCUGGCAUUAGCGUGGCGGGUCGCGGACGUGAUGCCAUGGGCCUUGGCAGUGGCCGCAUGGAGCAUGGCUGCUUUUGUUGCCGUUGUCGGGUUUUAUGUCUUCUUCAUCCACGAAGAUCAAACGAAAUAGCUUCCAAGUUAAGAAGCUUUAAAUACUACUACAUAGUUAUGUCGCACGUGUGUGUGCAAGAAGCAUGUUGAAAUAUUUUAUUUGCUGGACGUUUCAAAUUAUAUAUUUAUGUAACGUUAUCUUAUUUCUGUAAUUAAUUUAGUACGUGAAAUUAAUAUGAUGGUGUUUUCUGUGUGAAAUGGUGAGGGAGCAACUAAAUUAAUAUAUAUUGUUGGGAUAGAUUUUCGUCACUUAGCCAACUCUCUCUCGUAUCUAAGCCGACUAAAAAUGCUUCACCGAUUAAGCCACCUUCAAUCAAUCCAGCUCGGAUUGACGAGUCCCGACCGUCAAGAUCGACACCGGAGGAUCGACGUGGAUUCCCAGCCGACUAAAGCCUUCUCUGGUCGACAUCAGUCCGACUAAGAUCAAUAUGCCACCCACGACUUCUGGCAUCCAGCGGUGCUUGGCCCAUGACCGAGUUCACACUCGGUUAACGGCCGACCAUGCCAAUCGAGGAUAAGGCAACCCGACGAUCCCAUUCUACCGCCUUCGACAAUGCGGGUCUCAACCAACUAGCUGAGCACCACCGAACAUGGCCAUCAUAUAAUUCUGACAGGUCAUAUCAAGAUCAUGUCACUCAGACACCAUAUUCUAAUCGGCUGACUGCACACCAUGAUGGAAUACUAUGAUUUCAUUAAAUGCAUCUACAGGGUCAUUAAUUAUACCCCACAUUCGAUAGCGUCUGCCGCCAUAAGUACGUCGAGUAGAAAGCACACUUGCCGUCAGCAUUUAAAGAUACCCAUGCGACACCAUGUGACACUGUACGAUAGGACAUGAUCGAUAUAAUCAUCCGUCCUCCCACCAUUCAUUUUACUCCCUCUAUAAAUAAAGGUAAGCAGAGACCUCUCCAGGUAAGCGGGGCAUGCGCAUACUAUUUUUGCAAUCCAGAAAUUCUGUCACGCUUUCCUCUCGAACCACCACAUUGAUUUGAGCGUCGGCGGGUCCUUGUCGGAGCUACCUCCGACGGGACUUAAUUUACAGAUUCUUCUCUCCUGGUGCCGAGCGAAGCCCAGCACCAUCUCUCUCAUCCACAGUUUCGUCCUUGAUCUCGGCCUUGACUGUGUGUAUUUUUUUUAUGACGGCACGUUAUCUUUCGGCGAUCUCACCGCCCGCUAACAGAGUUAACCCUUAGUCGACUUCGGACCAAUUACCAACUACCCAUUGGAGAAAAACCGCAACAUGUAUCUUUUACAAUCUAUUUAAAUUAGAUAAUUUAUGAUUAUCCUUUAUCUAUGUUGCAACUAAAAAGCAAUGUAGUAUUUAAUGUAGCAAAUUUAUUAAUAUUUUAUAAUUUAUAUUUUAUUUUAAGUUGUUUUUAAUUUUUAGUAUUUAAUACAAAUUCAAUUGAACAAUUGAUCCAAUCUUUUGACUACGUGCCACGUUCAUAGGCUUACUAAUUAUGCCUUUAACCCCCACCUAAUUACUGAUACAUCGCAUGUAGUUUAAAUGGUAGAUUCUAUUCUCAUCCUUUAUAAUUAUAUCAUUCAAUAGCGCAUGGUUUACUAACAUUAUUGUAUAUCACUCAGGAUUAGAUUUAUACAAUAUUCAUUUUCAGAUAGAAGAAUAUUAAUUAAUUAAUAUCUAACUUAUAUUCAUAUCCGCUUAGAGCAAAUGAAUAUUUUUAAUAUCUGAUUUAUAUUUUUAUCUAUUUAAAAUAAUUAUAAGUACUAAUUUUGUGAUUCAAUCCAAAUUUAUAUUUGUUUAAAAAAAAUAAAUAUUAUUGCUCCUGGUUCUCGACCGGAAGUUAAGGUCGGCUAGCCGAAGUGAACCAAAGUCGUCGGGCUAAAGAAACAUUGAGGAAGGAGACAAGACUUGCAAAGAAGUCUCUUGUUGCCGAAAUUAUUUCCAGCAGAAAUUCUCUGGUGCUCAAAUUAGACAGACACCAGAAAUAGUGGAACGAAGAGUGCGGAGGGAGUUUGAGAGCUUACUAGGUCCCCUAAUGCUCCCAAUUUAUACAAGAAGGUAGAUAGAAGUUGUUUCCAUGCGUGGAGGCCACAAUCACGAAAAUCAUGCUCCGCACGCCAGAUAUGGUUGGAGUGAGCUAUCAUCCAACAAUUUUUGGUAUCUUAUCAGGGUCAUCAUAACCUGAUAUUGGUGGAACCGUGAUCGUUCAUUUUGGAUUCAAUUGUGGUCAGUCAGUUGUCCCCACAAAAAAUUCAAAUAUAGAUAUAUUUGUAUCCAAUCCGUAUUAGAUCCACUUCCAGACCUCUUUUUUUUUUGCCAUCGCACUUUUUAUUAGAGAUAACAUGGGUAAAAAAAAAUAAAAAAAGAUAGGGAGAGCGGCCAAUACAAAAAGCAAGUCGCUUUGGUUUAAAUAUCAAUAUUAUAUUUACGUACAUUGAUAAUUAAUUUUUACGACAGAUAUUUAUAAGCAUAUCUAAUUAUGCCCAUUUUACUAAUUUUUUUUAUUUUAUGUAGAUAAUUAUUUUUUUGACCUAAGUAAAUUUUUGCGUAGGUAAACCUUACAUCGAUAAAAGCUCUAUUUCUCAUAGUGAAAAGAUAAUCAAUUGAUGUGAGAACCCUUUUCAACUCAUAUCCUCCAAGCCAAACUUGAAACCAAUUGUCAUCACCUGAUUGCUUUUUGCCUAAGUUGUUGCUCACUAAUUGUGAUGCUUCACUUUCUUGCAAGCAUGGCUCCUUUAUAGUGCACGGGCCUGUACUGAAGAGUGCUAUGCAGUCUUCGAUGGCUACCAUUAGGAUGGAUGGUCAUCAAAUAAAUUGGUUCACGAGUACGUAUAAUGUCAUAUAAGAUGUGCAUUGUUUAGUGGUCAUCCAUCUUCUGUGUGGCCAUUGAAGGACUUCUGUGUGGCCAUUGAAGGCUACAAAGUAUUCUAUGAUUGUAGAAGAUCUCGGUUGUUCUCUUGCAGCCGACCAAAUCUACUUGGUCUAUUGACCCCUUCGACUGCACAUUGAUGCUGGCCUGUUCACCACUGGCAUACUCUCAUCACAUAGGACCACAACUCAAUCUAGCUUCUUGUCGGGGACUAGCUUGCUACACGGAUGCAUAAAAUCCCUUGUCAACAAGCUCGCACAGCUAAGAACCCCUCAUCAUGCUUCUUGGAUGCCAUGGAUUGGAUUUGCUUCCAUCAACAAUUUUUUUUUCUAGAAUGAAAAGAUCCAACCCUAAAACUGUGACAAAGUGUUCUCUCUAAACCUACUUAAUUCAGCCAGAAAUUUUAUCCAGCAUACAACAGCUCACUCCUCGACCCAACAUUUAACCAGACUUCCAAAACCCUCACCCCAUAAUCAAUAGCCUCCACAUUGCUGCCUCUCUAAGAACCUCACUCCUAGCCAUCGAUCUCACCAUCCUGGUGACCGUUCCUGCUCCAUCUGGCCUACUCCCUCAUCUGAUGGGCCGUGGAUUUGGGUGACCUGAAGAAUUCCUGCAUGAAUUCAUACGGCAAGAUCUUUAACAGCAGGGAUAUUAUUGUCAAACAAGUGAUGAAUAUUUUUUUUCUGUAUGGAGGAUGAUUAUAGAUAGUUAUUAAAUAGUUUUUUGACCUACCAUUUGAUGACCACAAGUGACAUCCAUUAUUAUAGAAUUGUUGGAGAAUGUUGAGAUCUGUAUCUUCUGUUGAAGUUUUGUAUGUAUUUUCGAAGGCUAAUUAUCUAAUAGUAUUGCUAACUCGAUAACUUCUUCCUGGGCUAAGCAUUCAGGAUUAAUAUUAUGGGAUUUUAUGACUGCUUUGGCCAUUCAAUUUUAAAAUAUUUUAUUUUUAAUUUUUAAAAAAUAUUUAUAAAAAUAUCUAAAAAAUAAGUGAUGAAUAUUCAAAUUAAAGUCUAAUUUAUGCCAUAUGACAUAUAUACUCGGAGCGGCAUACAAAUGCUACAAUAAAAACAAUCCGACGGAAUUUUGAUAACACUCAAAAAAAAUAUUAUUAUAAAUAAUUUAUAGUAAUGAUUUUAAAAAAUAUUAUAAAAAAAUAUAUAAUAUUAUAAUAUUUUAUCAAAAGUAUUACUAAAAAUUAUUAUAUAGCGAUGGUAUCUUAUAAUUAUUUUAAAAAAUUAUAUCUUAUUAUAAUAUUUUUAAAAAUUAUCAUAUUAAAUUUUAUAAUUUAUUUACAAAAUAUAAUACCAAAAUCAGAAGAUCUGACACUGAUAUGAAUUCUAUGUGCGACACGUUGACGUUUGAAACAAGUUGGCUAAUAGAAAUAUAGCAAGUGUAUAUAGCACCAUAGUAAAAUUCAAAGGAAAAAUAAUUUUGUCUCAGCAGCUACGUCAGAAAGAAUAAUUCUACAAAAAGCGGACGGAAAACAGGGAAAUGUGGUUCGCGCACCGGGAGCUGUCGCCUUCAUCAUGUCCAAAGGGAACACGAAACUCGAAUUGCUUCUUCCUCAAGUUUCCUAUAUGAAAGCCUCCACCGCCUCAAGAAACCAAGCGUCUUACACACUCAUCGCACCAUCCACCAAGUUAAUGGAUCCGACGCCCGAGGCCAUGCCGACAACCUGACAUGGAACAAUCAGCGCAACCGAGAAGGAAUAUGUUCAGCUUUCUACCAGCUCUUGGCUUUGUCUUCCUCACCUUCAGUGUGGCUAGCUCUAUCUACCAUUCGCAUGGCGACUCAGGCAUGCUGGCUUUCGUGAUCUCAUCCUACGUCAACCUUCUGCUACUCUUUUGGUGCCUCGACAGGUUUGAGAAGCUGGGCCCGAACAGCCCGUCCAAGAAGAGGGAGAGGGUAAAGGUGGUCAUGCAUCUGGGUGCUCGCCACCGCCCUCAACCUGGCAUUAGCGUGGCGGGUCUCGGACAUCAUGCCAUGGGCCUUGGCAGUGGCCGCAUGGAGCAUGGUUGCUCUUGUUGCCGUGGUCGGGUUUUAUGGCUUCUUCGUCUACAACGACGAAACCCCAUAGAAGCUUUAAAUACUAUUUCAUGUUUAUAUUGCAUAUGCGAGUGCAAGAAGCAUAUUGAUAAUAUUUUAUUUGCUGGACAAUUCAAGUUAUGUAUUUAUGUAAUGUUAUCUUAUUUCUGUAAUUAAUUUAGCACGUGAAAUUAAUAUAAUGGUGUUUUUUGUGCGAAUUAAUGAGGGAACCACGACUAGGAUUGCAUGUUCAUGUGUAAGAAGCAUGUUGAUAGUUUUAUUUGAUGGAAG
rnacentral:lncRNA from 1 species